GAGACAGAGAGAGGUGACAGCCUCAGGUUGGGGAGCUCAGCAGCCACCUCUUCAAUUGUGGCAGAGAGAGCUCCCCUUAUUCCUUAGCACAGCCCUCCACCCAUCCCCUUGUUGCUUCGGCAGGACUUCCUGGAAAGCAGCAGGAAAGGCUGGGAGGAGGAGGGCGGCGGGGGUGCGUGGCCGGAGAGGGGAAGCGCCUCCGCUCAGACCCCAGAGAAGGGCUUCCUAUCUGGCUGGCUGGCAGCCACCUUCUCUGCCCACCCUCCCCCUCAAGACCCUUCUCUUCCCACCCGCCUCUUGUCCUUAGGCUUCGAGGAGUCACCCCCCCCCCCUUGCCUUCUCUCAGGACAGACAGAUUAACAUUGUGGCCAAGGAAAGGGGAAACGCAAGGCACGCGGGGAAAGGGCUGAGUGGGUAAGAUUCAGGUGCAGGAGGAAGCCCCACGCGGGAGGAAGGAUGGCCAAGAUAAAGCAGGAGACCGGCUCCUGUUGAAUUUCCCAGCCAUACAAGAGGAGGAGGAGAGCCCGGCUCCGCAGACCUCACUUAGACCCUUUUCACACACCUUGAUGCCGCGUUCUUCCUUUUGAAAUUUGCUCCAGCCAAUCUUGUGAUGAUAGCUGUCAUUCUCUAUCAUACUCUUGUCACUGUGGUAUUUUAUCAACACUGUUUGCACAUUUUUUCAACUUCAUUAAUGGCAUCAUUACUGAUUCCUGUACCACAUCCCUCACAUUAUUAUUGAUUAAUCUAAUUUUAAAAAAUCUAGCUGCACCUGCACAGUAAUAAAAUAUCACAUCAUGACUAUAUUACUGCAUUACAAAGCUUUCUGUGACUGCUGAGAUCUUUUAUUGGAUGAUUUGUUUUAUUAGAAAAGUGACAAAAGAAAAUAAAAUGGACAUGUCAUCCCUU